GAAUUUAAUUUAAGGUCUGGCCUGCCCACUGAAAUUUUUAAAUGGCCGUGGUAUUUUGACCGUGCUAAGGUAGCAUAAUCAUUAGUUUUUUAAUUAAAAGCUGGAAUGAAGGGUUAGAUAAGAAAAUAACUGUCUCUGUAUAAUUUUAUUAGAAUUUUAUUUUUAAGUUAAAAAGCUUAAGUUUAGUUAAAAGACGAGAAGACCCUAUAGAGUUUUAUUAUAAUUUAAAUUUUUUAUUUUAGAAUUUAAUUAUUAAAUUUAAUUUAUAAUUUAAUUGGGGUGAUUAAAAAAUUUAAUUAACUUUUUUUAUAUAGUAACAUAAAUUUAUGAAUUAUUGAUCCAAUUUUUUUGAUUAUAAGAUAAAAUUACCUUAGGGAUAACAGCGUAAUUUUUUUAGAAAGUUCAUAUUGAAAAAAAAGAUUGCGACCUCGAUGUUGGAUUAAAAUUAAUUUUUGGUGUAGAAGCUAGGAUAUUAGGUCU
rnacentral:rRNA from 1 species